rnacentral:rRNA from 1 species
ACGUACACUCCUGCGGGAGGCAGCAGUGGGGAAUAUUGGACAAUGGGCGCAAGCCUGAUCCAGCCACGCCGCGUGAGUGAUGAAGGCCCUAGGGUUGUAAAGCUCUUUCACCGGAGAAGAUAAUGACGGUAUCCGGAGAAGAAGCCCCGGCUAACUUCGUGCCAGCAGCCGCGGUAAUACGAAGGGGGCUAGCGUUGUUCGGAAUUACUGGGCGUAAAGCGCACGUAGGCGGAUCGAUCAGUCAGGGGUGAAAUCCCAGGGCUCAACCCUGGAACUGCCUUUGAUACUGUCGAUCUGGAGUAUGGAAGAGGUGAGUGGAAUUCCGAGUGUAGAGGUGAAAUUCGUAGAUAUUCGGAGGAACACCAGUGGCGAAGGCGGCUCACUGGUCCAUUACUGACGCUGAGGUGCGAAAGCGUGGGGAGCAAACAGGAUUAGAAACCCUAGUAGUCCCA